rnacentral:rRNA from 1 species
CGACGUAAGAAACUUGCUCCACAGCUAGGGACAACAUUUAGAAAUGAAUGCUAAUACCUGAUAUUAUGAUUUUAAGGCAUCUUAGAAUUAUGAAAGCUAUAAGCACUGUGAGAGAGCUUUGCGUCCCAUUAGCUAGUUGGAGAGGUAACAGCUCACCAAGGCGAUGAUGGGUAGCCGGCCUGAGAGGGUGAACGGCCACAAGGGAACUGAGACACGGCCCUU